AGUUAAUGAGCUUGAACAAGCGUAUGUUUUGAAAACA
rnacentral:tRNA from 1 species